UCUGACGUUAGCGGCGGACGGGUGAGUAACACGUGGAUAACCUACCUAUAAGACUGGGAUAACUUCGGGAAACCGGAGCUAAUACCGGAUAAUAUAUUGAACCGCAUGGUUCAAUAGUGAAAGACGGUUUUGCUGUCACUUAUAGAUGGAUCCGCGCCGCAUUAGCUAGUUGGUAAGGUAACGGCUUACCAAGGCGACGAUGCGUAGCCGACCUGAGAGGGUGAUCGGCCACACUGGAACUGAGACACGGUCCAGACUCCUACGGGAGGCAGCAGUAGGGAAUCUUCCGCAAUGGGCGAAAGCUUGACGGAGCAACGCCGCGUGAGUGAUGAAGGUCUUCGGAUCGUAAAACUCUGUUAUUAGGGAAGAGCAAAUGUGUAAGUAACUAUGCACGUCUUGACGGUACCUAAUCAGAAAGCCACGGCUAACUACGUGCCAGCAGCCGCGGUAAUACGUAGGUGGCAAGCGUUAUCCGGAAUUAUUGGGCGUAAAGCGCGCGUAGGCGGUUUUUUAAGUCUGAUGUGAAAGCCCACGGCUCAACCGUGGAGGGUCAUUGGAAACUGGAAAACUUGAGUGCAGAAGAGGAAAGUGGAAUUCCAUGUGUAGCGGUGAAAUGCGCAGAGAUAUGGAGGAACACCAGUGGCGAAGGCGACUUUCUGGUCUGUAACUGACGCUGAUGUGCGAAAGCGUGGGGAUCAAACAGGAUUAGAUACCCUGGUAGUCCACGCCGUAAACGAUGAGUGCUAAGUGUUAGGGGGUUUCCGCCCCUUAGUGCUGCAGCUAACGCAUUAAGC
rnacentral:rRNA from 1 species